rnacentral:pre_miRNA from 16 species
UAGACGGUGAGGUAGGCAAGAUGUCGGCAUAGCUGAAAUGAUUAUAAUAUGCGGCUGUGUCACAUCGAGCCAGCUUGAGCC